CGGCAGAAAACAAAUAGCGGAGGAGACUGAGGCAGAGAUGGAUAACACUUAACAACACCACAUCAAUUUCCAGGUGUACUUGUACGACAAACUUCAGAUAUUUCGACAUCUUCUGUGGUUGCAUCAAAUGCUGUGAUUGCUCGACACCUUGCCAAACUCGAGGAAGGCAUCAAGGAACUGCAAUUAAACCAAAAAGAAAUAUUGGAAAGACUACGCUCUGGAGCAACUGCGACGGCUGUAGCUGUUGGUUAUCAAGCCCUGUCCCUGCCAGAAGGAGUCAAUUUACCAUGCACCCAGAUCGAAGAGAUUAAAAAGAUUGAUGUCUGGCUAACAGUGGACGAAAAUUACAUGCUACUUGUUAACCACUUGAGCUAUGUAGGCGGUAACAAAACAUCAGCAAUAUUAAGGAGGAUUCUUGAAAAACUGUUUUCAAACAAACUUGCGGAAAUCUGUAAUUGGUCAGGCAAAAAUGGAAAACAUAAGCUACAAGAUCACCUUUUAAUUAAAGUUGUUACUGAAGCUCUCCGUCGGCACAAAGUCGCCGAAACGGCUACAGAAAACGAGAUAAAGACCGUGGUUAGCAACUGGUUCCGCUUCUCCAAAGAUAGAGAUGGAGGUCGAGAAAGCAGACGCA